GGAAAGUACGGGCGAGGGGGGGGGGAAAUAAGUAGGGGGCAAGUGUUAUUCGGAGUUACUGGGGGUAAAGGGAACGUAGGUGGCUAGGAAAGUCAGGUGUGAAAGCCCGGGGCUCAACCCCGGGAUUGCACUUGAAACUACUUGGCUAGAGUGCAGGAGAGGUAAGUGGAAUUCCUAGUGUAGCGGUGAAAUGCGUAGAUAUUAGGAGGAACACCAGUGGCGAAGGCGGCUUACUGGACUGUAACUGACACUGAGGCUCGAAAGCGUGGGGAGCAAACAGGAUUAGAUACCCGUGUAGUC
rnacentral:rRNA from 1 species